rnacentral:rRNA from 1 species
GCAGUCGAGCGGUUUGUAGUGCUUGCACUAUAGAUAGCGGCGAACGGGUGAGUAAUGCCUAGGAAUCUGCCUGAUAGUGGGGGAUAACGUUCGGAAACGAACGCUAAUACCGCAUACGUCCUACGGGAGAAAGGGGGCUUUAUUGCUCUCGCUAACAGAUGAGCCUAGGUCAGAUUAGCUAGUUGGUGGGGUAAAGGCCUACCAAGGCGACGAUCUGUAGCUGGUCUGAGAGGACGACCAGCCACACUGGGACUGAGACACGGCCCAGACUCCUACGGGAGGCAGCAGUGGGGAAUUUUGGACAAUGGGCGAAAGCCUGAUCCAGCAAUGCCGCGUGUGUGAAGAAGGCCUUCGGGUUGUAAAGCACUUUUGUCCGGAAAGAAAACCUCCGCCCUAAUAUGGUGGGGGGAUGACGGUACCGGAAGAAUAAGCACCGGCUAACUACGUGCCAGCAGCCGCGGUAAUACGUAGGGUGCAAGCGUUAAUCGGAAUUACUGGGCGUAAAGCGUGCGCAGGCGGUCCGCUAAGACAGAUGUGAAAUCCCCGGGCUUAACCUGGGAACUGCAUUUGUGACUGGCGGGCUAGAGUAUGGCAGAGGGGGGUAGAAUUCCACGUGUAGCAGUGAAAUGCGUAGAGAUGUGGAGGAAUACCGAUGGCGAAGGCAGCCCCCUGGGCCAAUACUGACGCUCAUGCACGAAAGCGUGGGGAGCAAACAGGAUUAGA